AUUGAACGCUGGCGGCAGGCCUAACACAUGCAAGUCGAACGAGUGGCGGACGGGUGAGUUAUGUCUGGGAAACUGCCCGAUGGAGGGGGAUAACUACUGGAAACGGUAGCUAAUAACGCAUACCAUCGGAUGUGCCCAGAUGGGAUUAGCUAGGAGGUGGGGUAAAGGCUCACCUAGGCGACGAUCCCUAGCUGGUCUGAGAGGAUGACCAGCCACACUGGAACUGAGACACGGUCCAGACUCCUACGGGAGGCAGCAGUGGGGAAUAUUGAACAAUGGGCGAAAGCCUGAUGCAGCCAUGCCGCGUGUAUGAAGAAGGCCUUCGGAUUGUAAAGUACUUUAAGUGGGGAGGCGUUACUCGCAGAAGAAGCACCGGCUAACUCCGUGCCAGCAGCCGCGGUAAUAC
rnacentral:rRNA from 1 species